rnacentral:rRNA from 1 species
UACGGAGGGUGCAAGCGUUAAUCGGAAUUACUGGGCGUAAAGCGCGCGUAGGCGGCUUGGUAAGUCGAUUGUGAAAUCCCCGGGCUCAACCUGGGAAUUGCAGUCGAGACUGCUUGGCUAGAGUGUGGGAGAGGGUGGUGGAAUUUCCUGUGUAGCGGUGAAAUGCGUAGAUAUAGGAAGGAACACCAGUGGCGAAGGCGACCACCUGGACUGCUACUGACACUGCGGUGCGAAAGCGUGGGGAGCAAACAGG